rnacentral:lncRNA from 1 species
NNNACGGCCAUUGAGGGUGGGCUGGCGGAUGUGGGGCAGGAGGAAGUAGUUCAGCGCUGCAUGAGGAACCACGACUGGUUGGAGCGGCUCUUCCAGAGCUUCAGCGAGCUGCUGGCGCGGGCACGGGCACACUGCGCCUAAUGGGGGGCUAUGGGGCACUUAUGGGGCUAUGGGACCCUCUAUGGGGCUGCCAGGACCUUCUAUGGGGCAGCCAGGACCCUCUAUGGGGCUAUGGCACCCUCUAUGGGGCUGCCAGGACCUUCUAUGUGGCAGCCAGGACCAUCUAUGGGGCAGCCAGGUCCUUCUAUGGGGCAGCCUGAUUCCUCUGUGGGGCUGCCAGGUCCAUCUGGGGCCCAUGGGACACUCUAUGGGGCUGCCAGGACCUUCUGUGGGGCUGCCAAGUCAUUCUAUGGGGCUAUGGGACCCUCUAUGGGGCUGCCAGGACCUUCUAUGGGGCUGCCAGGACCUUCUAUGGGGUUGAUGUGUCCAUCUAUGGGGCUGCCAGGACCUUCUAUGGGGCUGCCAGGACCCUCUAUGGGGCUAUGGGACCCUCUAUGGGGCUGCCAGGACCUUCUAUGGGGCCUAUGGGACCCUCUAUGGGGCAACCGGGUCCUAUGGGGCAGCCAGGUCCUUCAAUUGGGCUGCCAGGACCUUCUAUGGGGCCUAUGGGACCCUCUAUGGGGCAGCCGGGUCCUAUGGGGCAGCCAGGACCUUCUAUAGGGCUGCCAGGUCCAUCUAUGGGGCUGCCAGGACCCUCUAUGGGGCAGCCAGGACCCUCUAUGGGGCUAUGGGACCCUCUAUGGGGCUGCCAGGACUUUCUAUGGGGCUGAUGGGACCCUCUAUGGGGCUGCCAGGACCCUCUAUGGGGCAGCUGGGUCCAUCUAUGGGGCUGCCAGGACCUUCUAUGAGCUGAUGUGACCUUCUAUGGGGCUGAUGGGACCCUCUAUGGGGCUGCCAGGUCCAUCUAUGGGGCAGCUGGAAGCUCUAAAGGGACCUUUGGGGGCACUUCCGGGCUACUUCCGGUUGGGGGGCACUUAUGGGGCUGAUGGGACCCUCUAUGGGGCUGCCAGGUCCAUCUACGGGGCAGCCAGGUCCUUCUAUGGGGCUGCCAGGACCUUCUAUGGGGCAGCCGGGUCCUAUGGGGCUGCCAGGACCCUCUGUGGGGCUGAUGGGUCCAAUGGGGCAGCCAAGUCCUUCUAUGGGGCUGCCAGGUCCUUCCAUGGGGCUGAUGUGACCUUCUAUGGGGCUGAUGGGUCCAAUGGGGCAGCCAGGACCUUCUAUGGGGCUGCCAGGUCCUUCUAUGGGGCAGCCGGGUCCCUCUGUGGGGUUGAUGUGUCCUUCUAUGGGGCUGCCAGGUCCAUCUAUGGGGCUGCCAGGACCUUCUGUGGGGCUGAUGGGACCCUCUAUGGGGCUGCCAGGUCCAUCUAUGGGGUUGCCACGACCUUCUAUGGGGCUGAUGGGACCCUCUAUGGGGCAGCUGGGUCCUUCUAUGGGGCAGCCAGGAUCCUCUAUGGGGCUGCCAGAUCCAUCUAUGGGGCUGAUGGGUCCAAUGGGGCAGCCAGGACCUUCUAUGGGGCUGCCAGGUCCAUCUAUGGGGCAGCCAGGUCCUUCUAUGGGGCAGCCGGGUCCCUCUGUGGGGUUGAUGUGUCCUUCUAUGGGGCUGCCAGGACCUUCUAUGGGGCAGCUGGGUCCUAUGGGGCUGCCAGGACCUUCUAUGGGGCUAUGGGACCCUCUAUGGGGCUGCCAGGACCUAUGGGGCAGCCUGAUUCCUCUGUGGGGCUGCCAGGUCCAUCUGGGGCCCAUGGGACACUCUGUGGGGCUGCCAGGACUUUCUAUGGGGUUGAUGUGUCCUAUGGGGCUGCCAGGUCCAUCUAUGGGGCUGCUGGGUCCUAUGGGGCCCAUGGGACCCUCUAUGGGGCAGCCAGGACCUUCUAUGGGGUUGAUGUGUCCAUCUAUGGGGCUGCCAGGACCUUCUAUAGGGCUGCCAGGACCUUCUAUGGGGCCCAUGGGACCCUCUAUGGGGCUGAUGGGACCCUCUAUGGGGCUGCCAGGACCUUCUAUGGGGCAACCGGAAGCUCUAAAGGGACCUUUGGGGGCACUUCCGGGCUACUUCCGGUUCCGGCAUGGAGACUUCCGGGGUUACUUCCGGUUAUAUCAAGGCAACUUCCGGUUAUGGGGCAGCCAUUAGCUCUAAAGGGACUUUUAGGGGCACUUCCGGUUACAUCAAGGGGGACUUCCGGGUACACUUCCGGUUUCGUCAAGGGGAUUUCCGGGGGGGCACUUCCGGUUCCAUCAGGGAGGACUUCCGGGACCUAUUGGGGUUAUUUAAGGUCACUUCCAUUUGGGGUUAUUCGAGGUCAUUUCGAGAUGGGGUUACUUGAGGUCAUCUCCAUCCGGGGUUAUUUGAGG